rnacentral:tRNA from 1 species
GGCUCUGUGGCGCGAUGGAUAGCGCAUUGGACCUCUAGGCUCAGCGUUGAAAUUAUUCAAAGGUUGUGGGUUCAAGUCCCACCAGAGUCA